rnacentral:SRP_RNA from 1 species
ACCAGGCGUGGUGGCACGUGCCUGUAGUCCCAGCUACUCAGGAGGCUGAGGCUGGAGGAUCACUUGAGUCCAGGAGUUCUGGGCUGUAGUGCGCUAUGCAGAUAGGAUGUCCACACUAAGUUUGGCAUCAAUAUGGUGACCUCCCGGGAGCAGGGGACCCCAGGUUGCCUAAGGAGGGGUGAACUGGCCCAGGUCGGAAACGGAGCAGGUCAAAACUCCCAUGCUGAUCAGUAGUAGGAUUGUGCCUGUGAAUAGCCACCGCACUCCAGCCUGGGCAACAUAGUAAGACCCUGUCUCU